AGGGAUGUAGCUCAGAGGCACAGCACCUGCCUGGCAAGCAUGAGGUCCUGAGUUCAAUCCCCAGUACCCCCC
rfam:Fukomys damarensis contig74294, whole genome shotgun sequence.